AAUUGAUAUCAAAUGAGGUAUGAGAGAAAAGCCAGCAUCAGCUAAGAAGUUCAAUGUAUGGUACUCACUCUGUCUAUUUCAAGGUUUUUGAUGAAGCACGGUUUUUUUUCCAGUUUUAUAAACUUAAUUGCUUCCUCUUCAAAAAUAUCCAGGCCAAUAUUUGAGGGCAAAACCAGUGCAGAAAAAAACAGUGCUUUUUUUCUUACAGGUUAUCUAAAUUUGAGAAAUUAGUUUCUUACUUUAUGCUGCGGUACAUACUGAUCAAGUAUUAUAUCUCUCCAUAUUUGUCUCAAUAUAAUGUCACAGAUAAAGUAAAAUAUGGUAAUCAACAGGCAUGGCUCCUGUUAAUAAAUUUAAUUUGUUGUUUUUUUUUUUUUUCCCCCUGAGAGUAAGUAACUUCAUAACCAAGAACUGUUAAAAAAUUGCUGGUUUGUAUACAGGCAAUCUUUUCUGAAGUUGUAGAUUGUUACUGCUGGUCAUGGUGCUAAUUAGUAUUUCUUGGUUGUUUCCUGGACUCUCCCUUCUGUGUGUUAUUUCUUCUAUUAAGAUUGCAGGAUUUUUGGAGAAGAAACCAUCCUUUUGCUCCAAGUUUGUGCAGUAUCUACCAUGUUAUGCUCAUAUUUUAUGAAUGAUCCUCCUGAAAGUAUAAUCUUUGUUCCUUUUAAGUAGUUGUUUGUUCCCACAAAAAUCGCUGUAGGAGUUUUCCAGUUUCCAUGUUGAUAUUAUGAAAACUUGUGUAAUCACAUUAUUAUACUCAUAAUUUUAUGCUGCAAAUCUAAUGUAGUAGCUGUAAGUAGGGAAAAAUCAUCUACGCAGGGGAUGUUUUUAAUCUCAGAAAGAAUCCAAAGAUCAAUGUACAACUCACACUACAUGCUAAAAUGUGCUACUAUUGACAUGAGGGACAUCCACUGGACUGAAAGAGGAUAGGAUGUGCAAAGUGGAUAUACACAGAUGUUAUACACUGAAAAAAUACUUCCGUGGUGCUAAACGACAAGUUUAGCCUAAGUUUUCAAUAGGAUCUCAUGAGUCACGUCAAGCUGCUUUGCAAGUCACUUUGCAAGACAUAAUGCUGCUACAGCAAACCACAAGUUGGCCUUUUGUCUCAGAGCAGCUACACUAUUACUGGGUACUGCCAUGUUAUAUCACGUGAUUAUCAUAUUCUUGAAGCCACUUCUUGAAAAGCCUGAGCCAUUUUUAAUGUAUGGUUCACUGGAUUUAUAGUAUUAUCCUUUAAUAUGCUAGGUUUUUCCAGGAAUUAACUACUACCUUUUAUUGUAGCAGUAAAUUAUAUAAUAAAUGUGGCUUUUACUGUCUUUUUACUGACAGUGUCUAAGAAUAAGCAAGGUUAAAGAACAAUGCUAAAAAUAUCAUCACAUGGCAUAUAUGAUAUGGUUAUAUUUAAUCUCAGGGUUAGAGACAAUUUUUGUAAUGUAAUUAGGACUUGUUGUUUUUCUUGGCAUUAGAUACUCCCUCUGUAAAAUGGACAUAGAAAUAUUAAUCUUUAUGAUGAUGAAGGAAAGUAAGCUCUUCUGUUGAAAAGCUAGGUAUUAUCCUCCUCCUCCUCUCUAGCAGAAUAAAUCUUUAUAUAUGUUAAAAUUAUUCUCCGUAUAUAUUUUUCCCUGCUUCAGCAUUUAAUAAAAUAGCCCCUGGACUCCAGACAAAAAUGUUUUUUGUAAUACAAAAUGAUGUCUGGUUUUGUGCAGAAUAACAACAAAAAAAGAUCAUUACUGUCCUCAUGAGUAACUGAAAAGUUAGAUUGAUUAUGUUUUGCAUUCAUCCACAGAAAAACUUGGAGGAAAGGAUUAGUCUUAUUUCUGGAAAUAAAAUGCAUGUUUUACUAUCCAAAGAUUUCAAAAGUCUUUCACCAUACCUAGAAAAUAUAUACUGUGUCAUAUUUUAUAAGUAAGUGGCUUUUGUUCUGAGUAAGUUUUUUCUGAUUUUCAUAAAACUUUUCUCUGUAAUGGCAUGAACAAUUUUAAUCAUUUUAUAAUUGUGCUGCAGUCUGCAUUUUUACACUAUUCUGAUGGAAUGAUUUCUCCAUCCCAAUGGUACUUAGCUGAGUAUUUUAAAGAGUUUCUUGAAUUCAAAUAUAAAAUGUAAAUGAGACCCUUAACUAAAUCACAGAUGCAAAUAACAUCCAGAUGGAUCAGUACAUGUAUUUCAUAAACAGUCCCUAUCUUUGUAAUGGGUUAAAUUAAAAUCCUGGAUACAACUUGCAGUAAGUGGAAGUUUCAAUCUUCUCAAAUACUUAUUUGGAUUUGAUCUGCAUGGCUGAUGUCCAUCUCUAGUCAAAAAUCUGUUUGCCCGGAGGAAAAUGAUUUCCACUGUAAUCACAAAUAGUUGCACAUGUUUCUAUGGGUGCCUGUGAAGCCAAAAGUUUGCAGAGGCUGGGGAAACAGCCUUGUCAGAGGAAAAAAAUAUACAGAUCCCAUGCUGCAAUUUUUUCCUGAAUAAAAUAUUUCAAGCCCUGGCAUGUCUGGACUGCACAUGGAAUGAGCGUAUGUAUGUUUAUAUGCACGCGUUUAUGUUUGUAUGUAGUUUCCAAUUCUAAUAUAUACAAAAAAAAAGGAUAUGUGUGAACACUUAUGUAUUUGACAUUGCCAUAAGCAAGAAUAAAUGACCACUUCAGGCUAAAAUUGCAAUUACUUUCAAUAUUGUAAGAAAGAAAUUUUAUACAAAUCUACAUGAAUUUUAUGUAUGUAUGUACAGGCAUGUGUAUUCAUAUAGAAGUAUAUUAAAGCAUAUUUAUAACUGUAUGAUUUCAUGGGACAGGGAUUUUUUAUUUAAAUGUUCUGUGAUAGUACCAAACUCAGUAAUGGAAAGACUCAGCAGUGUUACAGCCGAAGUGCUAGACUCAACAAUGGAAACGAUGGGAGAUGAACGGGAGUUACAAUGGCAGCAGAGCCAAACACUUCUUGGUAGUAGCAGACAGCAAAGCAAGGGGCAAGCAACAGAAAUUGCAGCUUGGGAGGGUCAGCUUAAACUUUAAGAAAAAAAAAAAUGUUAACCAGAAGGUUAGUGUUGGCAAUAGUCCCACUUUGAGCAGGAAGCUGGACUAGACGCAUCCAGAGUUUCCUUUCAAUCAGCAUUUCUAUGGUUCCAUGAAAUACAUUAAAAAGUGUGUGCCAGGUAUCACAUCUUGAAAAAAACCAGCACACUGAUAUGAUAACCCAGGUGGAUUAGCAACGCUUAGCUAUGGAUAUUAAUUAGUAGAACAAGAGGUAACUCUAUUUUUAUCCAGGUCACCAGUACAUGCCCAUUUGUGAAAAUAUUCACGGGAUUUCUCCAAUAAAAAUUUUACACAAUUGACCUAUAGCAAUUUAGACCACAAGACUCCCCCCUGGAAUCUCUAAUAUUUACUUUUUCUUUGAUGAGUAUUGCAAGAUUAAGAAGCGUUAGGCAGCUGUUAGGAAUUAUUAUCUGUAUCAGCACCUUGGGUUCCAUUGUUGGGUUCCAGUAGUCAGCUCUCCCAUUCCAUAGUGCAAUAAACUGUUAGAUUCUUUGAUCAGGAAAGAUCUUCCAUUAUAAAUGUACCAAAAUGUACCUGUAUGUAAUAAUGUUCAUUUGACUCAACAAGUUAUCGUAGAAAUAUAAUUACAAGAAGUAUUAAUAAAUAGAAUUUAUUU